UUACGUCCAUAUCACAUUGAAACAUUGGUUCCAUACGGUCACAGAAGUUAAGCAACCUUGAGGCUGGUCAGUACCUAAAUAGGUGACCACUUGGGAAUACCAGGUGCUGUAA